rnacentral:rRNA from 1 species
UACAGGGGGUGCAAACGUUGCUCGGAAUCAUUGGGCGUAAAGCGCACGUAGGCGGUUCGUUAUGUCGGAUGUGAAAGCCCUUGGCUUAACCGAGGAAGUGCAUCCGAAACUGGCGAGCUAGAGUACGAAAGAGGAUCGCGGAAUUCCCGGUGUAGAGGUGAAAUGCGUAGAUAUCAGGAGGAACACCUGCGGUGUAGACGGCUUACUGGACCAUAACUGACGCUGAGGCACGAAAGCGUGGGGAGCAAACAGG